GGGGGCAUAGCUCAGUUGGGAGAGCACCUGCCUUGCAAGCAGGGGGUCGAGAGUUCGAAUCUCUCUGUCUCCAC
rnacentral:tRNA from 1 species